CGAGUCCGGCAAGCUACGGCUUGUCAGUGAUGGCGAUCAUACUUCCCAGAAAAGCCCGGACUAUCGUAAAUUCUAAAUACUUGUACCCGAAACCGACACAGGUGGGGAGGUUGAGAAAACUAAGGGGCGCGAGAUAACUCUCUCUAAGGAACUCGGCAAAAUGACCCCGUAACUUCGGGAGAAGGGGUGCCACCGCAAGGUGGUCGCAGUAAAGAGGCCCAGGCGACUGUUUACCAAAAACACAGGUCUCCGCCAAGUCGCAAGACGCAGUAUGGGGGCUGACGCCUGCCCAGUGCCGGAAGGUUAAGGAAGUUGGUCAGGAGUAAUCUAAAGCUGACGACUGAAGCCCCGGUGAACGGCGGCCGUAACUAUAACGGUCCUAAGGUAGCGAAAUUCCUUGUCGGGUAAGUUCCGACCCGCACGAAAGGCGUAACGAUCUGGGCACUGUCUCGGAGAGAGACUCGGCGAAAUAGGAUUGUCUGUGAAGAUACGGACUACCUGCACCUGGACAGAAAGACCCUAUGAAGCUUUACUGUAGCCUGGAAUUGGCUUCGGGCUUCGCUUGCGCAGGAUAGGUGGGAGGCGUUGACAUUCCCCUUGUGUGGGGAAUUGAGCCAACGGUGAGAUACCACUCUAGCGAGGCUAGAAGUCUAACUUUCGCCCAUUAUCUGGGGAAAGAACAGUUUCAGGUGGGCAGUUUGACUGGGGCGGUCGCCUCCUAAAUGGUAACGGAGGCGUACAAAGGUUUCCUCAGGCUGGUUGGAAAUCAGCCAUAGAGUGCAAAAGCAGAAGGAAGCUUGACUGCGAGACCUACAAGUCGAGCAGGGACGAAAGUCGGUUUUAGUGAUCCGACGGCGCCGCGUGGAAGGGCCGUCGCUCAACGGAUAAAAGUUACUCUAGGAUAACAGGCUGAUCUCCCCCAAGAGUCCACAUCGACGGGGAGGUUUGGCACCUCGAUGUCGGCUCAUCGCAACCUGGGGCGGAAGUACGUCCCAAGGGUUGGGCUGUUCGCCCAUUAAAGCGGUACGUGAGCUGGGUUCAGAACGUCGUGAGACAGUUCGGUCCAUAUCCGGUGCAGGCGCAAGAGCAUUGAGAGGAGCCUUCCUUAGUACGAGAGGACCGGGAAGGGCGCACCACUGGUGUACCUGUUAUCGUGCCAACGGUAGACGCAGGGUAGCCAAGUGCGGAGUGGAUAACCGCUGAAAGCAUCUAAGUGGGAAGCCCACCUCAAGAUGAUUGCUCUCACAGGGUUAACCUGGUAAGGUCACGGGCAGAACACCCGUUAUUAGGCACUAGGUGGAAGUUCAGCAAUGAAUGUAGCCAAGGUGUACUAACAGACCGAGGGCUU
rnacentral:rRNA from 1 species